GAUGAACGCUGGCGGCGUGCCUAAUACAUGCAAGUCGAGCGAACAGACGAGGAGCUUGCUCCUCUGACGUUAGCGGCGGACGGGUGAGUAACACGUGGAUAACCUACCUAUAAGACUGGGAUAACUUCGGGAAACCGGAGCUAAUACCGGAUAAUAUAUUGAACCACAUGGUUCAAUAGUGAAAGACGGUUUUGCUGUCACUUAUAGAUGGAUCCGCGCCGCAUUAGCUAGUUGGUAAGGUAACGGCUUACCAAGGCGACGAUGCGUAGCCGACCUGAGAGGGUGAUCGGCCACACUGGAACCGAGACACGGUCCAGACUCCUACGGGAGGCAGCAGUAGGGAAUCUUCCGCAAUGGGCGAAAGCCUGACGGAGCAACGCCGCGUGAGUGAUGAAGGUCUUCGGAUCGUAAAACUCUGUUAUUAGGGAAGAACAAAUGUGUAAGUAGCUAUGCACGUCUUGACGGUACCUAAUCAGAAAGCCACGGCUAACUACGUG
rnacentral:rRNA from 1 species